AUGGUUGCGACGUCCAUUGCACUGCCCGUCAUGACAACGCAGCCAGUAACAGCCCAGCUGGUGUCAGUGCCUCCACCUUCGCUGGGCGUUCCUCCUCCGCAAGCACCGCCUUCAGUGAGUCAGGCCACGCAGUUAACUCUCCCGCCACCAGGCAUACAUAUCCCGACACACGCAGGACCAAUGAUUCCCUCGCAACAGAAUGUUGUUCAACACCAAGUAUUGUUGCAACAGCAACCUCCUCCAGUUACCGUUACCACUUCACAGCCACAACAGGUGCUGGUUAGUCAUUCCGGAAACACGAUAACGAAUUCUACUUUUUCAAAUGGGAUCAUUGCUCAACAAUCCUCACUUCCCAUUCAGUAUGUUCAAACUGCCAACGGAACGAUCAUGGCAGUGCCAAGUCAACCACCGAUAAUUAGUCACCUUGUUCAUCAACCUUCAAUCACUAGUCAGCCCCCACCGUCCAACAGUAUUCAGAGCAGCAUUCCCCCGCCGAACAUUUUGGGUCAGCCACCAACGGGAGUGCCACCGCCAGUUCUUCACCAGCAAGUACAAGUUGCGCACCUCCAGCCCCAAAUCCUCCAGCACCAAAACCAGCAGGUAAUGUUGCUGCAGUAUCAUCAACAAGGUCAGGUGGUUCAGCAACCGGGACAAGUCAUCCAACCAGGUCAGAUAACCAUCGACCAGAGUGGGAUGCAAGGGCAUUUUGUCACUGAGCAACAGCCCAGCCUGAUUCAGCAGCAACCAGGGAUCCAGGGCGUCCCGAUCCAGCAGCAAGGCAUACCACAACAGCAAAACAUUAUCCAGCAUCAGAUCAUUUCUCAGCAGGGCUUCCCACAGCAGCAAACGUUACAGCAUCAAAAUGUACUCCAGCCGGGCUUGCCGCACAGUAUGAUUCAACAACAGGUUAAAAAACUCUUUCGUUAUCGUUACAAAAUUGUGUCUGGAGUCAUGGCUGUGCUCGCUGUUUGUAUUUUUGUUUGUAAAUCUUACUCAGGAGAUUGUGACAAAAAAUCAUGUCAAAAAAUCUAGAAAAUAAGCAUUCGCCGGCCAGGGUGGUCCUUUCUGAGUGGUGACAAGACCACUCGGGCCGGUGCCGAUGAGCGUAGCCUUGUGAGCGUCGGAGUCCGAGCCUCAGGUAUGGGUGGCGGAGAAGCAGAGAGGGGCCGGAAGGGAAGGGUACAAUAGUGCCGCACAAUAGUCCGGCCGGCGGGACCUCCGUUCACGCAUAUAAACCGGCGAUUAUCUCGAAAACCGCACAUGGGAUCUCUUUUGACCUGUGAGAGCUUCUGAUCAGAAUGACUAGCAAAACAACAUAUCAAAGUUUCAUUCAGUUUACUGGGGGGGAUUGCCCAUACGGAUGGUGCGGGGUUCUUUGACAAAAAUAUUGACAUGAAAUAUUUGCCUGUUAGAGCUAAGGUCUCUUUUCGAGGGAGCAGUCACAUUGAAAAAUGAUGUAUUUAACCAUUCUCUGUAUUUUUCUUACUUUGUUUCAAAUGAGAAUUUAAGGAAUUAUUUAGAUACAAGUUGAUUAAUUAUCCACAUAAAUGAAUAUCAUUAACAAUUAAUCAUGAUCUUUUUUCCAGGUGCAGCAGAGUAUCCACAGCACACUAUCCAGCACCAGACUAUGACACAAAUGAUGCCGCAGCAGCAAGGCCUACAACAGCACAGCAUACACCAACAACAAGGCAUGCAUCCUCCACCAAUGCAUCAACAGCAAAUCAUAACGCAGAGUUUGCCCCAGCAACAGAACCUGCUUUCUCAGCAGAAUGUCAUGCAGCGUCCCCAGUUUGCACAAAGUAUGCCUGAGUCAGAGGGUCAGCACUAUCAGCAGCAGGUGCCAAUGAACCAAUCAUCAUUUGAGCGAAUGAAAGCAGUUAGGAGCGCAACAGUCUCAGC
rnacentral:lncRNA from 1 species